rnacentral:rRNA from 1 species
AGAUGGCGACCGGCGCACGGGUGAGUAACACGUAUCCAACCUGCCGAUAACUCGGGGAUAGCCUUUCGAAAGAAAGAUUAAUACCCGAUGGUAUAAUCAGACCGCAUGGUUUGAUUAUUAAAGAAUUUCGGUUAUCGAUGGGGAUGCGUUCCAUUAGGCAGUUGGUGAGGUAACGGCUCACCAAACCUUCGAUGGAUAGGGGUUCUGAGAGGAAGGUCCCCCACAUUGGAACUGGGACACGGUCCAA